CACCCAUAUCAUAUUGAAACACUGGUUCCUGUACGAUCACUGAAGUUAAGCAAUGUUGCACCUGGUCAGUAACUAGAUGGGUGACUGCUUAGGAAUACUAGG